GUGAGCGCCACGAUAGGAGAACCAGGACCAAUACAGAUAAAAACACAAAUCAAUCAGCCACGGCUGGGGCCCAGAGGUUAUUGGUGCUGAGGGGCUUUAAGUGAUGACAAUCCCUUCCCCGUCGGGGCGCGCUCUCCCCUUCCCCAGCUGUCAGUGUGAGCGCUACGUGUCCUCCGAGGAGCUGUGCAACUCUUCCUGCGUGGCCGGCCUGCCGCAGCUCUCCGCCCGGCUCUCCGCUGACGGACAGCUCAUCCUCAGCCUGAAGCAGAUGGACAGCCGGCUGUGGGUCCGGAUGAGGGGGAACUCCUUCACGACAAGGAUAGGAGUAAGAGAGACACAGACACCAAAGAGACUGCUCGGACGCCCGUCAGUCUUCCACGAAUCCCGAAUCCCAUCGGCUGUCUGUCCUCUGGAGACAUGAUAGUGUUCCAGCUCACCAUCAACCACACUGACCGCAGCCUCAGCCACUUCCCGGUGUAUCACAAAGACCACCUGUUCAACAGCAACCCCGGCUGGGAUUUCGGGGCCUUCCGGCGUCUCCAGGUCCUCAUGAAGCAGACACACUUCAACUCAACAAGGUGCCACUCAAUUCAGCGCUGCUAGAACCGGGCCAUAUGGAAGAGUUUAUCAUUGAGGAUCCUAGGGAAUUGAAACGCAAUCUAUAUGCAG
ensembl:lncRNA